AGCUUUGUACAGUGGCAGUAUCGUAGUCAAUGAGGUUUAUCCAAGGCGCGAUUGUUGCUAAUUGAAAGAAAAAAAUAGCUAAACAUUUUAGCUUUGAUUUUUCUGAAAGGAA
rnacentral:snRNA from 1 species